GCUAACAACCAUAUUACGCUUAAUUCACCGGUUCUCGUCCGAUCACCGAAGUUAAGCAGCGUUAGGCGCGGUUAGUACUUGGAUGGGUGACCGCUUGGGAACCCCGCGUGCCGUUGGUA
rnacentral:rRNA from 1 species